UACGUAGGGCGCAAGCGUUGUCCGGAAUUAUUGGGCGUAAAGAGCUCGUAGGCGGUUUGUCGCGUCUGCUGUGAAACCUCAGCUCAACCUGGGGCUUGCAGUGGGUACGGGCAGACUAGAGUGCGGUAGGGGUGACUGGAAUUCCUGGUGUAGCGGUGGAAUGCGCAGAUAUCAGGAGGAACACCGAUGGCGAAGGCAGGUCACUGGGCCGCAACUGACGCUGGAGGAGCGAAAGCCGUGGGGAGCGAACAGG
rnacentral:rRNA from 1 species